UUAUUUUUGCGAGUGUAGAACCGUGAUCGAGAAGGCUGUUCACCCAGGGCCAAGCUCAUCCAUUGCACUCCGGCUGUGCUGGCCCCUGCGAAUUCCCCAAAAGUGGGAAUCUCAACUGCAUAAUUUCUGGUAGUGGGGGACUGUAUUCACACUCUCUCCUG
ensembl:snRNA U1 U1 spliceosomal RNA